rnacentral:rRNA from 1 species
GAUGAACGCUGGCGGCGUGCCUAAUACAUGCAAGUCGAGCGAACAGACGAGGAGCUUGCUCCUCUGACGUUAGCGGCGGAUGGGUGAGUAACACGUGGAUAACCUACCUAUAAGACUGGGAUAACUUUGGGAAACCGGAGCUAAUACCGGAUAAUAUAUUGAACCGCAUGGUUCAAUAGUGAAGGACGGUUUUGCUGUCACUUAUAGAUGGAUCCGCGCCGCAUUAGCUAGUUGGUAAGGUAACGGCUUACCAAGGCAACGAUGCGUAGCCGACCUGAGAGGGUGAUCGGCCACACUGGAACUGAGACACGGUCCAGACUCCUACGGGAGGCAGCAGUAGGGAAUCUUCCGCAAUGGGCGAAAGCUUGACGGAGCAACGCCGCGUGAGUGACGAAGGUCUUCGGAUCGUAAAACUCUGUUAUUAGGGAAGAACAAAUGUGUAAGUAACUAUGCACGUCUUGACGGUACCUAAUCAGAAAGCCACGGCUAACUACGUG